rnacentral:rRNA from 1 species
UUCAAACUCUUGCGUAACUUUGCAGUCUGAGUAAACUUAAUUAAUAAAUUAAAACUUUUAACAACGGAUCUCUUGGUUCUGGCAUCGAUGAAGAACGCAGCGAAAUGCGAUAAGUAAUGUGAAUUGCAGAAUUCAGUGAAUCAUCGAAUCUUUGAACGCACAUUGCGCCCCCUGGUAUUCCGGGGGGCAUGCCUGUUCGAGCGUCAUUUCACCACUCAAGCCUCGCUUGGUAUUGGGCAACGCGGUCCGCCGCGUGCCUCAAAUCGACCGGCUGGGUCUUCUGUCCCCUAAGCGUUGUGGAAACUAUUCGCUAAAGGGUGUUCGGGAGGCUACGCCKUAAAACAACCCCAUUUCUAAGGUUGACCUCGGAUCAGGUAGGGAUACCCGCUGAACUUAAGCA